rnacentral:rRNA from 1 species
CGGCGUGCCUAACACAUGCAAGUCGUACGAGAAAGCCGGCUUCGGCUGGUGAGUAAAGUGGCGCACGGGUGAGUAACGCGUGGAUAAUCUGCCCUUAAGUGUGGAAUAACGUACCGAAAGGUGCGCUAAUACCGCAUAAUGCCUGGCAACACAAGUUGUCCGGCCAAAGAAGGCCUCUGUUUACAAGCUUUCGCUUCAGGAUGAGUCCGCGUACCAUUAGCUUGUUGGUGGGGUAAUGGCCUACCAAGGCUGCGAUGGUUAGCUGGUCUGAGAGGAUGAUCAGCCACACUGGAACUGAGACACGGUCCAGACUCCUACGGGAGGCAGCAGUGAGGAAUAUUGCGCAAUGGGGGCAACCCUGACGCAGCAACGCCGCGUGAGUGAGGAAGGUUUUCGGACUGUAAAGCUCUGUCGAGCGGGAAGAAGUGUACCAUGGCUAAUAUCCAUGAUAUUUGACGGUACCGCUAGAGGAAGCACCGGCUAACCCCGUG